GCCGUCGUAGCACAAUGGUAGUGCGUUGCUUUCCUACCAGCGGGGUUCGAACUCAAUUGAAUUCAGAGGCAGAGGUUGUGGGUUCGAUCCCCACCGUCGGUU